rnacentral:rRNA from 1 species
GCCGCGGUACUCUAUUCGUGCAGAGGUAGCAUAGCCACUUGUUCCUUAUUUAAGGACCUGUAUGAUUGGCUCCACUAGGGUUCAGCUGUCUCUUACUUUUUUUCAAUGAAGUUGAUCUGCCCGUGAAGAGGCGGGCAUGAUACAAUAAGACGAGAAGACCCUACGGAGCUUUAAUUUAUUAAUGCAAACAGUACCUAUAAAACCCCCAAGUCCUAAACUACCAAACCUGGAUUAAAAAUUUCUUAUGUUGCGACGGCGGAGCAGAACCCAAACUCCGAGCAGCCCAUGGGAAGACUUCACCCUCCUAAGCCUACUACUAUACUCACUUGAUCCAAUAACUUGACCAACGGAACAAGUUACCCUACGGAUAACAGCGCAAUCCUAUUCUAUAGUCCAUAUCAACAAUACGGUUUACGACCUCGAUGUUGGAUCAGAACAUCCCGAUGGUGCAGCCGCUAUUAAAGGUUCGUUUGUUGGACGA